ACAUCAGCCGCCGCGGGAAUACGUAGGUGGCAAGCGUUGUCCGGAAUUAUUGGGCGUAAAGGGCUCGCAGGCGGUUUCUUAAGUCUGAUGUGAAAGCCCCCGGCUCAACCGGGGAGGGUCAUUGGAAACUGGGAAACUUGAGUGCAGAAGAGGAGAGUGGAAUUCCACGUGUAGCGGUGAAAUGCGUAGAGAUGUGGAGGAACACCAGUGGCGAAGGCGACUCUCUGGUCUGUAACUGACGCUGAGGAGCGAAAGCGUGGGGAGCGAACAGGAUUAGAUACCCCAGUAGUCCCUGUCUCUUAUAC
rnacentral:rRNA from 1 species